ensembl:snoRNA SNORD63 Small nucleolar RNA SNORD63
GUGCAGUGAUGUUUUUGUCAACACAUCAUUCUGAAUGAAAGUAUGUGGUGACUUCUUAUGACUGAGCACA